CAAUAGCGUAUAUUUAAGUUGUUGCAGUUAAAAAGCUCGUAGUUGGAUUUCGGAUGGGACUUGCCGGUCCGUCGUUUCGAUGUGCACUGGCCAGUCCUAUCUUGUUGUCGGGGACUAGCUCCUGGGCUUCACUGUCCGGGACUAGGAGCUGACGAGGUUACUUUGAGUAAAUUAGAGUGUUCAAAGCAAGCCUACGCUCUGAAUACAUUAGCAUGGAAUAACGCGAUAGGACUCUGGCUUAUCUUGUUGGUCUGUGAGACCAGAGUAAUGAUUAAGAGGGACAGUCGGGGGCAUUCGUAUUUCAUUGUCAGAGGUGAAAUUCUUGGAUUUAUGAAAGACGAACUUCUGCGAAAGCAUUUGUCAAGGAUGUUUUCAUUAA
rnacentral:rRNA from 1 species